GCAGCACAGCAGUAGCCAAUACUGUGGGUGGCGAGUGGCGGACGGGUGAGGAAUGCAUCGGAAUCUGCCUAUUUGUGGGGGAUAACGUAGGGAAACUUACGCCAAUACCGCAUACGUCCUACGGGAGAAAGUGGGGGACCUUCGGGCCUCACGCAGAUAGAUGAGCCGAUGCCGGAUUAGCUAGUUGGCGGGGUAAAGGCCCACCAAGGCGACGAUCCGUAGCUGGUCUGAGAGGAUGAUCAGCCACACUGGAACUGAGACACGGUCCAGACUCCUACGGGAGGCAGCAGUGGGGAAUAUUGGACAAUGGGCGCAAGCCUGAUCCAGCCAUGCCGCGUGUGUGAAGAAGGCCUUCGGGUUGUAAAGCACUUUUGUCCGGAAAGAAAAGCAUUCGGUUAAUAACCGGGUGUCAUGACGGUACCGGAAGAAUAAGCACCGGCUAACUUCGUGCCAGCAGCCGC
rnacentral:rRNA from 1 species